CUCUCUCUCUCUCUCUCUGUCAAUCAAGUUGCCUCUCACCCGCCUUUCCUCUAAACUAGACAUCCCCAAACGCCACAUAGGAAAGCCGGCCACCCCCUUGGUCAUUUCGGCGGCCCUUUGCUGAAACUUUUUCCAGCUCUACAAAUAUCCUUUUUGAGGAGGCGACCAGGACUGGAGACUGUGCCCCAAAUGCAGUCACACCGUAGAUUUCUAUGAAGGCAUCAUGGUAUUUGCAGUUUUAUUUUCCACUCCUUUCCUAACGAUCCCUGGUGUGAAGUUUGUCUUUUUUCACAGCCACCACACACUGGGUCUACGGCUUCACUGAGCUGCCUGCUGCAACCCCCAAGGACUCACUCCUGGUCCAUCUCUACCCAUCCAGAUUCCAGGAGUACUUCUAAAAGAGAAAUUGAAGCAGUGGAGAUGUUCAGAAAAUACCUUGCCACGGUGAGCAGCAAGUUUCAUAGGAAACUCACAACUCUGGUCAGCGACAGUGGAGGUAGACAGUGGAGGAUAGAACUCCAACCAAUGGCUCCAAGUUACAAGGAAUGAGAUUCUGACUAAACAUCAGGCAGAACUUCUGAAGAGCUCUCUGGGCAGGAUCCAGCAACGCCCACUCCUCAGCCAUGA